GCAUAUUUGUUUUUUUCGUAUCCUUACAAUUGGAGACCUGAAGGCAUCAUCGAACGAUAUUUAAGACGGAAACACGAACAAGACUUCACAACACAGCGACCUUGGACGUCGCUGCAGAUCGAAAUAUCAACAUGACGCCAUUGAUAGUCGGUCUCUGCCUGGCCGUACUGGGGGUUAUGGUGUCAGGACAAGGGCCCUUUACCGGCCAAAACUACUUCCCUACAGCGAAGCACCGGCCCAACAAGCAACACCAACAUUUCUACCCGUCAAGAAUAUAUUUCGACCACCCAGGCCAUUUUCCACCGCACGGGAAAAACGACGACCAAUACCCCCCGCAUGGGAAGCAACAAGGCCAAUACCCAACGCACGGGAAGCAAGACGACCACUACCAAACGCACGGGAAGCAUCAAGGCCAAUACCUACCGAACGGGAAGCAUGAAGGCCAAUAUCCAACGCACGUGAAGCAAGGAGGCCACUACCCAACACACGAGAAGCAGCAAGGCCACUACCCAACGCACGGGAAGCAUCAAGAUCACUACCCAACGCACGGGAAGCAACAAGGCCACUACCCAACGCACGGGAAGCAACAAGGCCACUACCCAACGCACGGGAAUCAACAAGGCCACUACCCAACGCAUGAGAAGCAACAAGGCCACUACCCAACGCACGGGAAGCAACAAGGCCACAAACCAACGCACGGGAAGCAUCAAGACCACUACCCAACACACGGGAAGCAACAAGGCCACUACCCAACGCACGGGAAGCAACAAGGCCACUAUCCAACGCAUGGGAAUCAACAAGGCCACUACCCAACGCACGGGAAGCAACAAGGCCACUACCCAACGCAUGGGAAGCAACAAGGCCACUACCCAACGCAUGGGCACCAACAACCCUACUACCCACCACAAGGGCAUCAGGGACCCAAGUUCCUCCCAAAAGGGCAACAACCCCUUUACCAACCACAAGGGUCACAUCAACCCCACUUUUCAACAAAUGGGCACCAGCAACCGCAAAACAGCAAAAACGGAUUAAAGCAGAUCAACAAACCCAGUCAGAAGGUUUCAACACCGAAGACCCCGGUUCAUGAAUGACAACUCUGAGUUUGGAAAACAAGGGUAAAAUUCGUGCUGGUAAUGAACGUUCCGCAUAUACAUCCGCAUGCAGUCACAUGUCUAUUUCAAAUGGGGAGGACUGCCCUAGCAGACCAUCUGUCGAUCCUCAGUCGAUUCACCAGUCCUGACUUAAACCCUAUGUCUGUGCAGCAAGAAAAUCGAAGAUUACACGAUGCAUAUCAACACGGCAGUGACUAUGUAUAUUUGAUUGUUGUUGUAUUGAGACUUAAUAAAGCAUAUCUGAUUA